ACAAACUACAUAUAGUGAGAUGGGGCGUUAAGAACCAGUUUCCUUUGGGAAUGCUGCCCAGUUUCUAAAACUGUUCUUGUUUUCCUCAAAUAAUCUUUGUUAAAUUUAACUCAGGUUUUUAUUUAACAGAAUUAAUAUGGAAUUUAGGGGUAAAAGCACUAAACAGGAUUAAAAAAGUUCAAAAUUAACAGACACCAGAGGAAUUGACCAUGAUGAAGUGGGACAUCUGACCUCAUCCCUAACCUUGAACACCCACUUACUGUGCACUAGAAUAAACAGCUAGAGGAAUCUUAAGGACUCAGAGGACAGCUCACUGGCAGCAGAUUGCUUGACCCCAGAACAGAGACAGCAGAAGGAAGCUGACAGGGUGGCUGAAGUCCAACCAUGGAUUCACCACUCUAGAGUGAGGUGCCCAAGAACUCCAGACUGCAACUCCAGGAGACAAAGCACUCAAAGCUCUGCUCUCACCACACUGGCUGAAGAAUGAGGACUACAAUCAAGAUAUUAUGGACGCU
rnacentral:lncRNA from 1 species